CCGGCAUUGGUUAAGGCCACGGUUAGAGAUUGGACCGAUGGCGAAGCUAUGGAGAGGAUAUUAAUGGGACUUAUCAACGAGAUUAUGGAGAUGGAGAAGAUGGUGAGCUCUGAUCAUCGCAAGAUAUCUGUUGGGAUUGUUCAUGAACCUUUGUUGCCUAUUUCUCUUAGAUGGUGAGCUCUGAUCAUUGCAAGAUAUCGGUUGGGAUUGUUCACGAACCUUUGUUGCCUCUUUCUCUUCCGAUUCCUCUACAUCUCGUCAAGUGACUGAUGAAGAGAACACAGAAUCGAAGAUUUUUUUUUUGUUUUAAAAUAUAAUAAUAUUCUUAAUGUAAUCGAGAAAAAUGUAUAAGAUAUAUACACCUAAAG
rnacentral:lncRNA from 1 species